AGAGUUUGAUCAUGGCUCAGAAUCAACGCUGGCGGCGCGCCUAACACAUGCAAGUCGAGCGAGAAAGUGGGGCAACCCAUGAGUAAAGCGGCGUACGGGUGAGUAACACGUGGAUGAUCUACCCUCUAGUGGGGAAUAACCCUAGGAAACCGGGGCUAAUACCGCAUAAGCACGAGAGUGGAAAGCAGCAAUGCGCUGGAGGAGGAGUCCGCGGCCGAUUAGCUAGUUGGCAGGGUAAAAGCCUACCAAGGCGAAGAUCGGUAGCCGGCCUGAGAGGGCACACGGCCACACUGGCACUGAAACACGGGCCAGACUCCUACGGGAGGCAGCAGUGGGGAAUCUUGCACAAUGGGGGAAACCCUGAUGCAGCGACGCCGCGUGAGCGAUGAAGCCCUUCGGGGUGUAAAGCUCUUUCGGCAGGGAAGAUGAUGACGGUACCUGCAGAAGCAGCUGCGGCUAACUACGUGCCAGCAGCCGCGGUAAUACGUAGGCAGCAAGCGUUGUUCGGAGUUACUGGGCGUAAAGGGUGUGUAGGCGGUUGUUUAAGUUUGGUGUGAAAUCUCCCGGCUCAACCGGGAGGGUGCGCCGAAUACUGAAUGACUCGAGUGCGGGAGAGGAGAGUGGAAUUCCUGGUGUAGCGGUGAAAUGCGUAGAUAUCAGGAGGAACACCGGUGGUGUAGACGGCUCUCUGGACCGUAACUGACGCUGAGACACGAAAGCGUGGGUAGCAAACAGGAUUAGAUACCCUGGUAGUCCACGCCCUAAACGAUGCAUAUUUGGUGUGGGCAGUUCAUUCUGUCCGUGCCGGAGCUAACGCGUUAAAUAUGCCGCCUGGGGAGUACAGUCGCAAGGCUGAACUCAAGGAAUUGACGGGGCCCGCACAAGCGGUGGAGCAUGUGGUUCAAUUCGACGCACGCGAAGAACCUUACCUGGGCUCGAACGGCUGGG
rnacentral:rRNA from 1 species